rnacentral:rRNA from 1 species
ACGAACGCUGGCGGCAUGCCUAACACAUGCAAGUCGAACGAGACCUUCGGGUCUAGUGGCGCACGGGUGCGUAACGCGUGGGAACCUGCCCUUAGGUUCGGAAUAACUCCCCGAAAGGGGUGCUAAUACCGGAUAAUGUCUUCGGACCAAAGAUUUAUCGCCUUUGGAUGGGCCCGCGUUGGAUUAGCUAGUUGGUAGGGUAAAAGCCUACCAAGGCGACGAUCCAUAGCUGGUCUGAGAGGAUGAUCAGCCACACUGGGACUGAGACACGGCCCAGACUCCUACGGGAGGCAGCAGUGGGGAAUAUUGGACAAUGGGCGAAAGCCUGAUCCAGCAAUGCCGCGUGAGUGAUGAAGGCCUUAGGGUUGUAAAGCUCUUUUACCCGGGAUGAUAAUGACAGUACCGUGAGAAUAAGCUCCGGCUAACUCCGUG